GACGAACGCUGGCGGCGUGCUUAACACAUGCAAGUCGAACGGAAAGGCCCUGCUUUUGUGGGGUGCUCGAGUGGCGAACGGGUGAGUAACACGUGAGUAACCUGCCCUUGACUUUGGGAUAACUUCAGGAAACUGGGGCUAAUACCGGAUAGGAGCUCCUGCUGCAUGGUGGGGGUUGGAAAGUUUCGGCGGUUGGGGAUGGACUCGCGGCUUAUCAGCUUGUUGGUGGGGUAGUGGCUUACCAAGGCUUUGACGGGUAGCCGGCCUGAGAGGGUGACCGGCCACAUUGGGACUGAGAUACGGCCCAGACUCCUACGGGAGGCAGCAGUGGGGAAUAUUGCACAAUGGGCGGAGGCCUGAUGCAGCAACGCCGCGUGCGGGAUGACGGCCUUCGGGUUGUAAACCGCUUUCGCCUGUGACGAAGCGUGAGUGACGGUGAUGGGUAAAGAAGCACCGGCUAACUACGUGCCAGCAGCCGCGGUGAUACGUAGGGUGCGAGCGUUGUCCGGAUUUAUUGGGCGUAAAGGGCUCGUAGGUGGUUGAUCGCGUCGGAAGUGUAAUCUUGGGGCUUAACCCUGAGCGUGCUUUCGAUACGGGUUGACUUGAGGAAGGUAGGGGAGAAUGGAAUUCCUGGUGGAGCGGUGGAAUGCGCAGAUAUCAGGAGGAACACCAGUGGCGAAGGCGGUUCUCUGGGCCUUUCCUGACGCUGAGGAGCGAAAGCGUGGGGAGCGAACAGGCUUAGAUACCCUGGUAGUCCACGCUGUAAACGGUGGGUACUAGGUGUGGGGUCCAUUCCACGGGUUCCGUGCCGUAGCUAACGCUUUAAGUACCCCGCCUGGGGAGUACGGCCGCAAGGCUAAAACUCAAAGGAAUUGACGGGGCCCCGCACAAGCGGCGGAGCAUGCGGAUUAAUUCGAUGCAACGCGUAGAACCUUACCUGGGUUUGACAUGGAUCGGGAGUGCUCAGAGAUGGGUGUGCCUCUUUUGGGGUCGGUUCACAGGUGGUGCAUGGCUGUCGUCAGCUCGUGUCGUGAGAUGUUGGGUUAAGUCCCGCAACGAGCGCAACCCUUGUUCACUGUUGCCAGCACGUUAUGGUGGGGACUCAGUGGAGACCGCCGGGGUCAACUCGGAGGAAGGUGGGGAUGACGUCAAGUCAUCAUGCCCCUUAUGUCCAGGGCUUCACGCAUGCUACAAUGGCUGGUACAGAGAGUGGCGAGCCUGUGAGGGUGAGCGAAUCUCGGAAAGCCGGUCUCAGUUCGGAUUGGGGUCUGCAACUCGACCUCAUGAAGUCGGAGUCGCUAGUAAUCGCAGAUCAGCAACGCUGCGGUGAAUACGUUCCCGGG
rnacentral:rRNA from 1 species